CUACGGAGCUCUUCAGGGAUGCUGGGGCUCCCCUAACAAAUCUGUUUCUCAAUGUGUUCAUGAGAGGUGUGUCUUCUGGAUUCUUCCAGUGUGGGCAAAGAACAUGGACUCACAGACACUGGAUGGCUUGCACAAUGUCUUGAAGCCCCAAAGACUAGGUUGAAAUGCACAUGCAUUUUCACAAUACCACGCUUCCUCAUCUCUGUAAAGCUUACAUUUUAAUCCUCAUACAAGCUUUUGAUGAGGACUGGAGAAUUAUACACUGGAG
rnacentral:lncRNA from 1 species